AAAAAGGCAAAUUGUAGGUUCCCGUGCCAACGUUUGACUCUCCGUCUUAUAUGAAAUUUUUUUAUAAUUAGUAUUUUCAUUGUUGUUAGAUGAUAAAACAUGAUUAAUACUUUAUGCGUGAUUUAUCUUUUUAAUUUUUUUUCAUAAUAUUUUUAAAUAAGAUGGACAGUCAAACGUUGGACACGGUAACCAGGGUUUCUCUUUUU
rfam:Oryza glumipatula chromosome 5, whole genome shotgun sequence.